CGGGACGGGUGAGUAACGCGUGGGUAACCUACCCUGUACACACAGAUAACAUACCGAAAGGUAUGCUAAUACGGGAUAAUAUAUUUGAGAGGCAUCUCUUGAAUAUCAAAGGUGAGCCAGUACAGGAUGGACCCGCGUCUGAUUAGCUAGUUGGUAAGGUAACGGCUUACCAAGGCGACGAUCAGUAGCCGACCUGAGAGGGUGAUCGGCUACAUUGGAACUGAGACACGGUCCAA
rnacentral:rRNA from 1 species